GAUGAACGCUGGCGGCGUGCCUAAUACAUGCAAGUCGAGCGAACGGACGAGAAGCUUGCUUCUCUGAUGUUAGCGGCGGACGGGUGAGUAACACGUGGAUAACCUACCUAUAAGACUGGGAUAACUUCGGGAAACCGGAGCUAAUACCGGAUGAUAUUUUGAACCGCAUGGUUCAAAAGUGAAAGACGGUCUUGCUGUCACUUAUAGAUGGAUCCGCGCUGCAUUAGCUAGUUGGUAAGGUAACGGCUUACCAAGGCAACGAUGCAUAGCCGACCUGAGAGGGUGAUCGGCCACACUGGAACUGAGACACGGUCCAGACUCCUACGGGAGGCAGCAGUAGGGAAUCUUCCGCAAUGGGCGAAAGCCUGACGGAGCAACGCCGCGUGAGUGAUGAAGGUCUUCGGAUCGUAAAACUCUGUUAUUAGGGAAGAACAUAUGUGUAAGUAACUGUGCACAUCUUGACGGUACCUAAUCAGAAAGCCACGGCUAACUACGUGCCAGCAGCCGCGGUAAUACGUAGGUGGCAAGCGUUAUCCGGAAUUAUUGGGCGUAAAGCGCGCGUAGGCGGUUUUUUAAGUCUGAUGUGAAAGCCCACGGCUCAACCGUGGAGGGUCAUUGGAAACUGGAAAACUUGAGUGCAGAAGAGGAAAGUGGAAUUCCAUGUGUAGCGGUGAAAUGCGCAGAGAUAUGGAGGAACACCAGUGGCGAAGGCGACUUUCUGGUCUGUAACUGACGCUGAUGUGCGAAAGCGUGGGGAUCAAACAGGAUUAGAUACCCUGGUAGUCCACGCCGUAAACGAUGAGUGCUAAGUGUUAGGGGGUUUCCGCCCCUUAGUGCUGCAGCUAACGCAUUAAGCACUCCGCCUGGGGAGUACGACUGCAAGGUUGAAACUCAAAGGAAUUGACGGGGACCCGCACAAGCGGUGGAGCAUGUGGUUUAAUUCGAAGCAACGCGAAGAACCUUACCAAAUCUUGACAUCCUUUGACAACUCUAGAGAUAGAGCCUUCCCCUUCGGGGGACAAAGUGACAGGUGGUGCAUGGUUGUCGUCAGCUCGUGUCGUGAGAUGUUGGGUUAAGUCCCGCAACGAGCGCAACCCUUAAGCUUAGUUGCCAUCAUUAAGUUGGGCACUCUAAGUUGACUGCCGGUGACAAACCGGAGGAAGGUGGGGAUGACGUCAAAUCAUCAUGCCCCUUAUGAUUUGGGCUACACACGUGCUACAAUGGACAAUACAAAGGGCAGCGAAACCGCGAGGUCAAGCAAAUCCCAUAAAGUUGUUCUCAGUUCGGAUUGUAGUCUGCAACUCGACUACAUGAAGCUGGAAUCGCUAGUAAUCGUAGAUCAGCAUGCUACGGUGAAUACGUUCCCGGGUCU
rnacentral:rRNA from 1 species